AGAGUUUGAUCCUGGCUCAGGACGAACGCUGGCGGCGUGCCUAAUACAUGCAAGUCGAGCGAGCGGAACCAACAGAUUUACUUCGGUAAUGACGUUGGGAAAGCGAGCGGCGGAUGGGUGAGUAACACGUGGGGAACCUGCCCCUAAGUCUGGGAUACCAUUUGGAAACAGGUGCUAAUACCGGAUAAUAAAGCAGAUCGCAUGAUCAGCUUUUGAAAGGCGGCGUAAGCUGUCGCUAAGGGAUGGCCCCGCGGUGCAUUAGCUAGUUGGUAAGGUAACGGCUUACCAAGGCGACGAUGCAUAGCCGAGUUGAGAGACUGAUCGGCCACAUUGGGACUGAGACACGGCCCAAACUCCUACGGGAGGCAGCAGUAGGGAAUCUUCCACAAUGGACGCAAGUCUGAUGGAGCAACGCCGCGUGAGUGAAGAAGGUUUUCGGAUCGUAAAGCUCUGUUGUUGGUGAAGAAGGAUAGAGGUAGUAACUGGCCUUUAUUUGACGGUAAUCAACCAGAAAGUCACGGCUAACUACGUGCCAGCAGCCGCGGUAAUACGUAGGUGGCAAGCGUUGUCCGGAUUUAUUGGGCGUAAAGCGAGCGCAGGCGGAAAAAUAAGUCUAAUGUGAAAGCCCUCGGCUUAACCGAGGAACUGCAUCGGAAAACUGUUUUUCUUGAGUGCA
rnacentral:rRNA from 1 species